rnacentral:rRNA from 1 species
AGGGAAUCUUCCGCAAUGGGCGAAAGCCUGAUGCAGCAACGCCGCGUGAGUGAUGAAUGUCUUCGGAUUGUAAAGCUCUGUCUUUGGGGACGAUAAUGACGGUACCCAAGGAGGAAGCCACGGCUAACUACGUGCCAGCAGCCGCAGUAAUACGUAGGUGGCGAGCGUUGUCCGGAUUUACUGGGCGUAAAGGAUGCGUAGGCGGAUGUUUAAGUGAGAUGUGAAAUUCCCGAGCUUAACUUGGGAGCUGCAUUUCAAACUGGAUAUCUAGAGUGCAGGAGAGGAGAAUGGAAUUCCUAGUGUAGCGGUGAAAUGCGUAGAGAUUAGGAAGAACACCAGUGGCGAAGGCGAUUCUCUGGACUGUAACUGACGCUGAGGCAUGAAAGCGUGGGUAGCAAAC